AUUGGACGCUGGCGGCAGGCCUAACACAUGCAAGUCGAGCGGAUGAAGGGAGCUUGCUCCUGGAUUCAGCGGCGGACGGGUGAGUAAUGCCUAGGAAUCUGCCUGGUAGUGGGGGAUAACGUCCGGAAACGGGCGCUAAUACCGCAUACGUCCUGAGGGAGAAAGUGGGGGAUCUUCGGACCUCACGCUAUCAGAUGAGCCUAGGUCGGAUUAGCUAGUUGGUGGGGUAAAGGCCUACCAAGGCGACGAUCCGUAACUGGUCUGAGAGGAUGAUCAGUCACCGUGGAACUGAGACACGGCCCGGCCUCCUAGGGGAGGCGGCAGGGGGGAUUUUGGAAGAGGGGGCGAAGUCGUGAUCCACCCAUGCGGGGUGUGUGAAGAAGGUCUUCUUAUUGUAAAGCACUUUAAGUUGGGAGGAAGGGCAGUAAGUUAAUCCCUUGUUUUUUUGACGUUCCCAAAAAAAUAGCCCCGGCCUAACUUCGUC
rnacentral:rRNA from 1 species